CAAGGUUUCCGUAGGUGAACCUGCGGAAGGAUCAUUAUUGAAUAAGCUUGGUUGGGUUGCUGCUGGCUCUUCGGGGCAUGUGCACGCCUAACACCAAUCUUCUUACCACCUGUGCACCUUUUGUAGACCUGGAUAUCUCUCGAGGAAACUCGGUAUGAGGACUGCUGUGUGUCAAAGCCGGCUUUCCUUACAUUUCCGGUCUAUGUCUUCAUAUACACCAUUUGUAUGACCAUGAAUGUUAUAUCGGACUUGACUGUCCAAAUAAACUUAAUACAACUUUCAACAACGGAUCUCUUGGCUCUCGCAUCGAUGAAGAACGCAGCGAAAUGCGAUAAGUAAUGUGAAUUGCAGAAUUCAGUGAAUCAUCGAAUCUUUGAACGCACCUUGCGCUCCUUGGUAUUCCGAGGAGCAUGCCUGUUUGAGUGUCAUGAAAUUCUCAACCUUUUCGGCUUUUUCUAAGUUGAUCAGGCUUGGAUGUGGGAGUUUGCGGGCUUCUUUGAAGUCGGCUCUCCUUAAAUUCAUUAGUAGGGACCUCUGUUGCCUUAGCUUUUGGUGUGAUAAUUAUCUACGCCAUCAUGUGAAGCAGCUUUAAUUUUGGAGGUUACUGCUUUCUAACCGUCUCCUAUGGGACAUUUUCUGACAAUUUGACCUCAAAUCAGGUAGGACUACCCGCUGAACUUAAGCAUAUCAAUAAGCGGAGGAAAAGAAACUAACAAGGAUUCCCCUAGUAACUGCGAGUGAAGCGGGAAAAGCUCAAAUUUAAAAUCUGAGGGUCUUACG
rnacentral:rRNA from 1 species